GAUUUUAGAGAAUUUGGUGUUGAUUUGAUCAAAUUUACUAGGUGGUUGAGUUUUUUAUCACUAUUUUAUGGUAUUUUUUUUAUGGUGGUAAUGGAGUUUUUCGGUGAAAAUUCACCGAAAAAUAUGACAUGUGUGUGCAGGUGUGGCUGUAGGGAGUGGACGGAGGUGGAUGAGGGUGUGUGCGGGUGUGGCAGUGUGGGGGUGGACUGGAGAUGGACGGGGUGUGUGCAGGUGUGGUGGUGGACGGGAG
rnacentral:lncRNA from 1 species